UACACCACCAGCACGGUAUUACUGCACUAUACUGCAUAUUUUUCUAAAUAAAUUUAAAUUUAUUGACAUUCAUCUAUACUUUCGGUCACACUUAUCAUAAAACACGGCUUUUACCAAUAUCACACACUAGUAGCAGACAUCCGUAACCGUUUCGUUUUUCUUAUAGCGAUUACGAAAUAGAACAAAGCACACAUCGUUCGUUUUGUGUCUUCUUCUUCCACCACUUUCGGUGCUACCGGAACCAGAAAAGUAGCCAAAUAAAUUACCCUGCGUGUGGAAACAAAUGAAAAAACAGCCUAUUUGACUAGAAGAACCGAGCAUGUUUAAUUUGAAAAACAAUUUCCUCGAAUAGGAGCUAGCUACGGGUUCGCGUCCCGUCUCUGCGGUAACAUUUUCGCGGUUUUCAUUACAUAGUUGUAUUCGCCUUUUAUUUUUCCAAUCGAUUUUUCUCGUUAGAUACUGAUAAAAUUUAAAAUUGAUGUUCACAUGUUUCAAUAAUAACUAGACUGCUAUUAUGUUUUAUGCAAAAUCGUUUGUAUAACUUUCAGGCUAAACUCGUUGUUUUUCGAAAAACUUUUUUCUUUGAGUUCAAUAAUCGUAUUCUGAACAGAUACGUAUUUUACCUACUAAUUGUAGGCAUCUUCAGUAUCUGAAACUGAAUAAAUAGUUGAGGAAGGGAUGAAUAGUUGUCGAAGGAUUUCGACAUUUUGCUUACUAAAGCAUUCUACUCUACGGAAGUGUUCUUCAAUGACGAGAGAAUUGUUUAUUCUAACGAGCGGCUGCUAUAUGCGUUAAGCGAUUCAUAUUAUUCCAAGUUGUAGCACCAGUGGUAACUGCACACAUAUUCAUCUCAUCUACUAAAUUAAUCAAUCAAAAUGAGAUCCACCGUCUCUGUCAGAUGCAUAUACCCUUUGAGUGUGUUGGUAUGAAAAUCGGUUGCUUCGUUUAAAAACUUAUUCCCGUCAUUUUACUGAAAUUUUGUAGUGAUUUUGUUUCCUAAAGCCGAAGCAAAGACUGUGUUGGUACCGUUGAUGCCUUAACUAGUGAGAUAACUGUAGGUACAAUUGCCCUGUAUGAGUAGUGCCGACGACGUUUCCGUGUUUUUGCCUGCCUCUCAGAGUCAAUUAACAACUAUCUCAAACUAAGCCCGUUCGGUCAUCCACCGUCGCAUCAGUCGGAAUCAUUUCAGUUCACAGCACGCUGUUUCACCGACCAGCCCACCAAAAAAUGGCAGCUCCCAUCUCAAUUGGCAGGAAACCAAUCACCCGGGCUGAUGCUGUGAGACGAAGUGGCAUCAUCGGUCGAACUUGGCGAUUCUUGAAGGCAAAUUUCGAAAGCUACCAAUCCUUCACCAGCACGGCCUGGUCCUAUCGAUAAACGGAAAGCGGGACUAUUGUUUGCCCAUGAGAUUGGAGGAAGAUGUUGACAAAUAAAGAGUGUAAUUUCCUGACGGAAAAGUGUCAUAUAUUAUUCUGCCGUGUUUCUUUUUGCUACAGCUGAAUAAAUAACGUGGUUACCUGUUUUUUUA